rnacentral:rRNA from 1 species
GACGAACGCUGGCGGCGUGCUUAACACAUGCAAGUCGAACGGAAAGGCCCCUUUUUGGGUACUCGAGUGGCGAACGGUUGAGUAACACGUGAGUAACCUGCCCUUGACUUCUGGUUAACUUCAGGAAACUGGGGCUAAUACCGGAUAGGAAUCCUUGCUGCAUGGUGGGGGUUGGAAAGCUUCGGGGGUUUUGGAUGGACUCGCGGCUUAUCUGGUUGUUGGUGGGGUAGUGGCUUACCAAGGCUUUGACGGGUAGCCGGCCUGGGAGGGCGAGCGGCCACAGUGGGAAUGAGAAACGGCACAGACACGGACGGGAGGAAGAAGGGGGGAAAAUUGAAAAAAGGGCGGAAGCCUGAUGCAGAAAAGCCGCGGGCGGGAAGACGGGCUUCGGGUUGAAAAACGAAUUCAGAAGGGGAGAAGCUUGUGGUGACGGUACCUGAAGAAGAAGCACCGGCUAACUACGUG